rnacentral:rRNA from 1 species
CGUAAUAGCUCACUGGUCGAGUGACUCUGCGCCGAAAAUGUACCGGGGCUAAACGUAUCACCGAAGCUAUGGCUUGUCCUUAUGGACAGGGGUAGGGGAGCGUUCCAAGGGCUGCGAAGCAUGACCGGAAGGACAUGUGGAGCGCUUGGAAGUGAGAAUGCCAGUAUGAGUAGCGAAAAGAGGGGUGAGAAUCCCCUCCGUCGAAAGCCUAAGGUUUCCAGAGGAAGGCUCGUCCGCUCAGGGUAAGUCGGGACCUAAGCCGAGGCCGAAAGGCGUAGGCGAUGGCAAACAGGUUGAAAUUCCUGUACCACCACGUCAC